UACGUAGGCAGCGAGCGUUGUUCGGAAUUACUGGGCGUAAAGAGUGUGUAGGCGGUGCUCUAAGUUCGGUGUGAAAUCUCCUGCUUAACUGGGAGGGUGCGCCGGAAACUGGGGUGCUCGAGCGUGGGAGAGGAAAGCGGAAUUCCUGGUGUAGCGGUGGAAAUGCGUAGAUAUCAGGAGGAACACCUGUGGUGUAGACAGUUUCUGGACCAUUGCUGACGCUGAGACACGAAAGCGUGGGUAGCAAACAGG
rnacentral:rRNA from 1 species